rnacentral:lncRNA from 1 species
GGAUGCCAGUGUAGAGCCUGAGCCUCAUCAACACCCAAGUUCUACGCUGCUGAUUGGCUGAUGGUGGGGUACAUCUGCCCUUCCUUCAUCCUCACAUCACGCUGGGGUGGCUGCUGAUGCUGUUUGGACGCUCAGGAGGCUGAAGCUUAUCUCUUCACCGUCAGGAGAUGCUGCCUCGAGGCCUGUGCUGUUCCCUCUCACAGAGCCUGGGGUCUAUCCUGCAGUCCAGCAUCUGCUGGUACCAAGCUGAAGAGAGCCAGGGCUACUGGUGGACAUCUGGCCUGGAGGCUCCAGUGAGCGGGCAGAGGUCAGAGCGUGGGCUCUUCCUCAAUACCCCAAAGACGUCCCAUGCUUCUUGAGUCCUGCCCAGUGUAAUCACGCUUCUUCAAGAUGAUACAAUUACCACCAUGUUCAUCACCAUCACCCCCCAACAUCAUCUCAACCACAGCCAUCACCACCUCCAUCAUCAGUAUCACCACCACUGCCACCAUUAUCACCAAGAUCUUUAGUCAUCAUUGUUAUCAGCAUCAUCACAGAUGCCAGCAUCUUACUCUCCUCAGCAUCGCCAUGAUCACCAUCAGUAUCACUGUCAUGGUCACGAUUGCCACGGUUACCAUCACCAUCACUAUCCUCAUCCACUGGCAGCUGGAUGAGACCCUGACAGCCUGAUCAAUGGAUUACUUACUUUAUUUUAUUUUAUUGUUUGUUUGUUUGUUUUUUU